rnacentral:hammerhead_ribozyme from 1 species
AUCAAGCUGACAAGUCUCAAAUAGGACGAAACGCGCGUCCUGGAU